NNNAUACGAAGUUAUUACGUAAUGUUUUUACUGUUCGUCUUAUUUAAUUUUUUUAUGAUUAAUAAUUUUUUUAUUAUUAGAUGAUAAAACAUGAAUAAUACUUUAUGUAUGACUAUUUUUAAAAUUAAAUUUAUAAAUUGCAAAUAAGAUGGGCAGUCAAACGUUGGACAUGGAUAACCACGGCUACACUUCUU
rnacentral:pre_miRNA from 1 species